CUCCAAUGCAAAUAAGUAGCAAUUAAAAAAAUUUAUCCCAGUCAUGGGUUGAAAUUACAAGGAACAAGAUGAAAUUUGAAAGAACUAGUUCAAGCCAAAUAACAUGCCUGCAAUACUUUCAAACAGUAUGGUACAGGGCUUGAAGAAAUACAACACAAGGCAAAAGUGGUAAGAUAGUUAAAAAUGCAGUGUAUUGAGGGAUACAUUUAAUAAGAAUGUAACGGGCAUAAGAAAAAAAUUAAGGUGUUUUUCUCAUUUUCUCAUGUGAUAUCAAGGAUAUAAAAUCCCCUUGAAAGCACAGUAUAUCUUUGUACCUGAACCUUCCAUCUGUCUUAACACAGUGCUUUGCAGAGGAAAUGUCUGUUGAACCAGCAAUAUUUCUAUUCACAUAUGAUUACAUUAAAAGCAAAUUGCAGAUCUCUGGAAGAGAAAAGUCAUAAAUGGUUUAUUUAAACCACAUAAAAAUGAAGUGAGUGUUCAAAUGAACAGUUUCAAAUUCAAAUCUCAACCCACAGCGGAUGGCUAUCUAUGUAAAGGCCUGGGAGUGGAGGUAGGGGAAGGAGCUGAGAAGCUGGGGAGACUGUGGAGUUCAGGCUCCACAGGGAAUAGUUCCUUACUAUAUGUUUCAUAAAUGAUUUAAACUACUGAGGGUGGGUGGGGAUCAUAUUUUUAACUUCUACCUCCCUGAGCCUAGCAUAGUACCUGACACACACUAGGUACUCAACAAAUAGUUACUGAAUGAAGAAGAAAGAGAACAAAAGGCAUUAAAUUCUUAGAUGACACCAAACCAAAGAAGAGAGAGAGUGGAUGAUAACUGACAUCUUGCUUUUGAAUAUGUACCCCAUUCUUAAAAAUGUUUCACCAUGCACAACCACCUGUAAAUUACAUAUUUGUGACCUCCUGUAUACCCAAAACAUAUACCCAUAAAUAAUGUAUUUGUGACCUCCUAUACUAAUAUAUUGUACACCUUGUAAAAUAUAAACCCCAAAUUUAAAAAGAUGAAGUAAUCAAUAUAUUUAAAAUAAUUUAAUGGUAUUUUAUUAAUAGUGUCAGAACCUUUUUGCUGUCAUUUGAUUCUCUAUUACUUUGUACUUUUUAAAAUUCUUAGUUUAACACUUUGUGAUAUCAUGAUUUGAAGAUCUGGUUCUAAGUUUAGUUUAUUUUAAUAGCUAUCAUAGCUGAAAAAGAUAUUUAGAUUUAAAUGGAAGAAAUGCAUUUUUGUUGGCCAUACCUAUUAAAAAGUACCCAUUUUCUCAGCAACCAUUCUGCAAAGGUUUUGGUUGAAGUUCAACUAGUAAAUUUCCAUUUUCUCUGCUAUCAAUCAGCAAUUCUUGCAAACUAAUUUAAAGGCAUUGCAUUUUACCUUUUCAAUAGAUAAAUUUAAGACCCACUGAAAUUCAUUAUUUAGAAAAUAUUUAAACAAAUAGAAAAUUAUGUUUGCAAAAUUUUUAGGUGUGCAUAUAUUAGGGUUUUAAUAGGACACAUACACACUGGUUUUUGCAACAAAAUUACAUACUAAUGGAAAUAUUUCCAAGCAUCAUUUUCAAAACAUUCUCUCCAAAGUAUUUCUUUCAAAACACAUGUACACUUUUUAAGGGGGGCGGGGUGGUGGAUGGAAUUAUUCUCUCACUCGUUGCCAAAACUUUACUUUUUUUUUUUUUUAAAGAUUUUUUUUAUGUUUUCCUUUUUCUCCCCAUAGCCCCCCGGUACAUAGUUGUAUAUUCUUCGUUGUGGGUCCUUCUAGUUGUGGCAUGUGGGACGCUGCCUCAGCGUGGUUUGAUGAGCAGUGUCAUGUCCACGCCCAGGAUUCGAACCAACGAAACACUGGGCUGCCUGCAGCGGAGCGGGCGAACUUAACCACUCGGCCACAGGGCCAGCCCCCCAAAACUUUACUUUUAAAGGAAAGUACUAACAGAUGAGAUAGGGAAAUUUGGAUCCCUUGUAUUUUUGUCAGAGGAAAAUGCAUCAUUCAUCUCCAUAUUUAACUAUUCUUUUAAGUUAUAGUAACAGUGCUUAUGUAGAGCUUAUUUUGGUGGUAGAUUUAUAUGUAUUAAUUCUCUUCACCCUCAGUACAACCCAGUGCAGUAGACACUAUUAUGAUCUCCAUUUUACAGAUGAAGAAAUUGAACCCCAGAGAUGCUAAGUAAUUUGCCCAAGGUUACAUGGCUGGUGAUGGCAGAACUAUGGUCAGAACCAGGCAAUGCGUUAUCCAGGAGCUGUGUUUUUAGCCCCAAGUAUCUUGAAUACUUUGAUGGAAGAUAAAGAGUUUCCACAACUACUUCCCAUCUCAGUACAAAGUAUUAUAUAGAUUCUAUUGAAAGGAUUUGUUUUACAAAUUUAACCUCGAUGAUCUCCUAUACCACACAAAAGUGCAAUACACUGAAUGUGCAUGAAGGAGAGUUUCCCUUCAAGUGGAAGCCCACCCUUCUCAGGACACCUCACAGAGCAUACGUAUGGCUGACUGACAAAGGACUGUGUGAGCGCGCCAGUGUCAACAUGUGCAUGUUAAAUAAUUAAGCUUAAUUUCUUUCUUUUUAGAUAAAACAAAAUAAAUAGCCAUUGGGAUAUUUUCUUUCUGGACUAUAGUAGAUUGUCUUGUGCACCCCUAGGAUGUGCACCCUCCACUUUGGAUGUCUUUUGUCUUAACAGAUAUUAUGACACUCAAAAUUACCCAGGAAAAGUACAGUUUCAGUAAAAUAGGUGCAGAGGAGUUCAAUAGGAUAAUCAAAACAACCUAUUAAAUAUAAUGUGAAAAAUAUAAGUAAGCUAAACAAGCAUAUAGAGUUCAGAUUUUAAAAUCUGAUAAUGAUGAAAUGUAAUUUUAAAUGUACAAAUAAUUGUAGGUUGCAUCACAGGAAUGUGAAUUGAAGACCUGAGAGAGAAUACUCUCACCAUGCUAAGGACUUACCCAAUCCUUUAUAGAGGUCCAUGUCUCCUACUGGGCAUUUCAUCUAAAGAAGAAUGCGGAGAAUUUGGAAAGCAUUCGCAUGAGAGUCAUAAAACAUAAAAAAAAAAAGUGUGAGAAAAUAUUAAAAGAACUGGGAUUGUUUAUUCUAGAAAAUCUAGGGAAUUUAAGCGUCUUCCGGUAUAUGAAGAAUUAUAAUCCCUUAAAGUCUAUUUAAGUCUUUGACACAUCUGGUUGAGCCAGACACAGAUUCCUUAGAGAAUUAGUUAAGGAAAUCACAGCAACGCACCUCUUUAAGCCAGAGGCUAUUAAGCCUUUGCUUUUGAAAUGGGUUCAAUCAUUAAUUGCACAUAAUUGACAGUAAAUAACUGAGUCACCAAAUGAACAGUAUUUAAGAAAAGCUAUUAUUUCCUACUGAUAAGCAACUAAAAUAUUUAUUAUCUUCAAAGUCUGCCUAGUAGGUUUGAGCUCAAAGGCCUAAUAAGGUUCUCUGAGGAACAUAGUAACUGCUGACACAAUUUAUGUAAAUAAGUUAUUGUCAACUAUUAACAGACAUAGUUUACGUACACAAUAGAUUAUCCAAACAAGAGACAGAAAAAAGAAAGAGGAAAUGAGAGAGAAAAAAAGGAGCGAUUUAUAUUUUGUUCUUGAUACCCAUAAUAACUAGAUUAGAAGACAAUGAGAUUUACCUAAUAGGGAAGGAUAAUAGUUUUACUUUACAUAAUUAAUGGUCUUAGCAAGAUUUAAAGUAAUUUCUAGCUACUUUUUAUCAAAAAGCUGAUGCUAGCAGUUUAAGGGUUCUGAUCUCCUAACACUUGCCUUUGGUUUUUCUCACGACUCUAAUAUAGAAAGUGAGAAAGUCCUGUGAUCUGAAAAGCCUUGCAUUUGACCCUAAUGUAGUCUUGCUUUAAAAUAGAAUUUUUCUCUUUAUUACAAAACGCACUGAACUUCAGGCGUUUCAGUUUGAGUUUGAACAUGGCUAAUCUGGAGCAAGAAAGAUGUUGAGCCUGGGCCACUCCCAUCCCCGACACACAACAUGAGCGCUCUCUGAACCAUUUUCCAGAUCAAAGAAACAGGUUCAUUCGGUUUCAUGUCAAGGCGGUAUAAACUCGUCUCUAUUUCAGUUCCUGUGAGUCUCGGAGUUUUUCUAACUAUAUCUUGGGUUGCUUUGGGUUGUAUUAAAUUAUUUUCCUCAGAAAAUUCAAUAAAUUGGUCACUUUAAUGCCCAUAUUCCUACCUAUUUUUUACAGCAGGCUUUUCCUGCUGAUUACUUUCUGAGCCAACUCAUGACUAGGAACAUGUCUUAAACUACUUCCCUCAUAAAAAUGGUUUUCUUUUUUGCGAAGUUGUGGGCUGCUGCCGUUGGUGUUAUCAACAUAGCUGGAAACUAUAGCAACAACUCAUGAUGUCUGAGCCACUUAAAUAGAUGAGUCUGUAGUAGAAUGAACGAAAAUGUGCCAUAAAAGCAAUGCAAGUAAUAUGAAUCAAAAACAUCUUUGCUUUUGUAAUCAUGUAGUUGGUAGCAUUAUUCUUACUUCUCUAGUACUGGUGAUUUAUCUGCUAUAAAACAAAUAUUCUAACAAAUAUUUGCCCUCACUUCCAUUACCAGCUGGCUUAUCAAUAGAAGUUAUUCAGGUCCUGUGGCUGCCAUUUGUCAAUUUUUCUCCCUAAGAGAAGUUAUAUUUCUUGUAUUGUUAUGCUCCUUAACUCCUCGAAAGUUACAAUAAAAGAACUACAAAUAACAGAGGAUCCUAUCAUUAUAUGACAAGUCAUAUGGUUCCAUAUCAGGCACUAUUUUAGAGAAAAGGUUUUCCGUUUUGAAAAAUGGAGGAUGACAACCAAGCACUUAUCUCAUUGGAAUAUACUGUCUAGAAGAAAACAUUGUAUUACCUGGUUAGGUAGUUUUUUUGUUUUAAUAUUGGGAUCAACAAUUUAUAGUACGGCCAGGCCAAUUUUCUAAAAUUCUGAACAUAACGAUAUCUUAGUAUUUCUUUUAUGAUUUUUUUCCUGUUAACUUUUAGGACUUCUACAAAAAAAACCAAAACUCUAAAAUUUGAUCAUUCCUUAUACUAGUACAAAUGAAAUAUAAAAUAUUGGCAUUUUUCUACCUGUUAUAGGUAAUAAUAAUGAUGAUGACAAUAGCAGUCAAUUGAUACUAUGUUCCAGUAUUCUACAAGUUAAUUUAAUCCUCAAUUUCAUGAGAUAAGCACUAUUAUUAUCUCUGUUUUACUGAGGAGGGAAAAGUACUAUUAUCAUCCUCUUGUUAUUGAUGAAUCCAGUACUCGAGAGGUGAAAUAAUUUGCAGAAAGUAGAAAGUGACAGAGCCAGAAUUUAAACCUGGGUCUGACCUCUUCCAAAGCUUGUGUUCAUAUCUGUGGGAAGUGGCGUGUGUGUGUGUAUAUGCGUGUUCUUCACAGCCGGAGGACAAAUUUAUCUUGGAAAUGUAAUGGUUCCCAGACGUUAGUUUAAAAAAAAAAAAAAAGAAACAAAGGUUGAAAUGUGCUGAUAGCCAGGUAUUUGUCUCUAAAACGAGAAUGAUGUCAUUCCACUUGGAGUUCAUUGACACAAAACUUCCUUUUGUCUGAGGAAUUUUUCAGCACUGUGAAUAUGGCUUUAAUUAAGAGAGACACUGACCACUUGUUGAUUUUGUUACAAGGAAGGAAAUUCUCUGUGCCUUAUUGUGUGUAUUGCUUUGUGUGUGGAUCACAGUGAAAAUGUAUAAAGGACCAUUGGCAAUGUGUUGAUUUGUGUCUACUGCAUUUUAUAUCUACUUCCAUAUGCCACAGAGAACCAUUGUUUAGAAAGAUCUGUAGGAUUAUUAUGUUUUGAAGUAUAAAAAUAUGGGAUUCACAAACCAUUUUCUUUCAGAAGGAGAAGGCCAUACUGUGGUAAUUGACAUUAAACAUGAAUAUUCUUACCUUUACCUGUGAGCUAAAUUUUUGACUAUCAUUUUAAAAUAUAAGGAAAUGUUCCCUGAAUUUAGGGAAGCCACAUAUAAAUCCCAGUUCCUCUACUUACCUCUGGAAGUUUACUUGUUCAUAGAUUUGUAGCAAAUUCUCUGGAAUCAGAUGGUGUACAGCAGACAAUUGCCUCAAAAUCUGAAGCACGUUACGCAUAUAGGAAUCUUUAAAUAGUUGUUUGAGUCUAUCUUCAAGUGAUAUCUGAUAAAAUUUAAAUUACAGUAGUGUUGUGCGGCAAAAAACAAACAAAACAAAACACUCUGCUUCAAAAUCUUGACCACUUUACUCCACACCCAUUGAAUCAUAUAAUUCUUAGUUCUCCAUUCACCUUCUGUACCUCUCUUUAUCCUAUCUGGAAAAAAAUAGAGAAAUGGGAGUCAAAAACGCAACUUCUAUAUUUAAAGAAUAAGAAAGAGUAAGAGGAAGCUGUAAAGUGUGCUGACUUGGAGAUUAAUGGGAAUGCAAUAAAUAAAUAAAGUUAGUAAACCUAAAAAGAUGCAUGGAAAGGAAAUUUCUCUGUACACAGAUCUGCCAAUUUGUGAAAGCUCUCUCCUAUCUAUAAACCCAAAGGCCAAAACUCUGCUGAUGAAAAAAGUAGAAAGCUGUUCAAACAAUGCUAAAUGAAGCAUAGCUGUUCCCCUGAAUUAUCUGGAUACUUAUUUCACUUCUCUUGAGUUUCCAGGUGACCCCCAGCCACAUGUCCGCCAGGCCAUUCCUCGGGCGACGCUGAUCCCUCCGGCGGUCCAGCGCUCCUGCUCCUUGCCCACACCAGGGUCGUCUUCACUGGCCGGCCCCGGGCGCCUUGGCCCAAGCGGCUCUCGGGCCCCGGGCAGAGGUCGCUAACACUGAGCAGCGCGAAACGCCGGGGAGUCUGAGCCUCCAGACAGGACCCCCGGCGUCCCUGAGCUUCGCGCACACGGAGAGGCGGGCCGGCCUUCGCGCUGCGGCCCGGGAUCGGAGGGGUCCCCCGGGAAGAGGCCGGACAGCCGGCUUCCGCGGCGGGCGCCUUCCCCGCGCACUGCCCGCCGCCGGUCUCCGGGCCGCCCGCGCCCUCCGCGGGAGGAGCCGCCUGCCGCCGUGACGCGUCAGGGAGGAAACGCCGGCGCCCGGCGGCCCUGCCGGGAAGGAGGAAGCGCGGGUGCGCUCGGCUCCGCGCCCGCCGCGCCGGGAGGAGCCCCGCGGAGCCGGAUUCUGCUUUUUGAUUCCUAAACGCCCGAGUGGUGUCGGUGGACCGACAGUGUUAACCCGUGCGCACCUUCAGAGCGAAGAGGAGCUGGGAACGGGGAGGGAGGGAGACCCCAACCUGAGGUCGAAAGUGGCUGCGGGUCACCUGCGAGGAUCAGGGAUGGAGGAGGCCUCGGGAGUGGAGGGCACGGGAAUCAACCUGUUGUCAGCGGACCUGGUGUCUUGAGACUUUAAUGCCAUUGCUAUCCCUUAAGUUCUCUUGUGAUUUGAACCCUUUCCGUCUCUUUUCAAGUGAAUUUGUCUCUGUUUAUUCCCACACUUUUAGCAUUCGGCUGUACAUCUAGGAGUGCUUUGAGAUUUUUAGAGUUUGUCAUUUUUAGUGGUGGUUACUUGGAGAGAGAGGAAAGAGAAUUCAUCUCUUGAAACUUGAACUCUU
ensembl:lncRNA